rnacentral:lncRNA from 1 species
GAAGAUUUUUUUAAAGACAGGCUACAAUAAUUCCCAUGCUGAGAACCACAUGUGAUGACACUUGUGAUGAAGAUGAGGACAGCAAUGAGCUGAGAGACUCCAGCCAGGAUUCACACAUGCGAGGGGAUGCAUGAGAAUGGGGAUGGGACAUUGGUGGUUAGCAUCCUUGCUUGUCUCAGAAUGGACGUGGGUUGUGGAUUUCUAACUCCUGGAGAAACCAGAGUUCUAGGAAUUGUAAGCCACUUUAUGUUAGGAAAGAAAAAGACGGUGUUCUGCUCUCCUGUCCCUUAAAACUGUGCGUACUGCCACUAAACCUGGAAGCUGAGAACAGUAUAAUGGCUACUCCUGACUUCCUUUCAUCAAAUCAGCCUGCUAUUGUUUUCUGCAAUGGUUGUGGUGCAGAAUCUUUUUGUGGUGCAGCCAAGAUUCACACUUGAGUCUCCUUACUGCAAGUUUGCACUCUCACAGUGGAGAGUUAACAAUAAUUGCCUAAUAUGUUACACUUUUUUGGGAAGAGUUACCAGAUAAAGUGCAAGAUCCCAGUGAAAUGUGAAUAGCACAGAUAAAGGACAGAUUUUUUUUGUAAAAGUGUACUGUAAAUGUCAUAUGGAUCAUAAUUAUAGUAAAAACUAAUUCACUGUUUAUCUUCAAUUCAAAUUCCACUUGGUAUUCUUUAUUCAUACUUGCUAAAUCUGGCCACUAUGUUCUUUCAUGUAUUUUUAAUUUUAAAAAACAGUCCAACAUCUCAUUCUAGCAAUUUACCUACAGAAAUAAAGAGAGGAACCACAUUACUGGGACAAAUACAGUCACUGCAAAUAUCAGAAGAAUACUAGAACAUAUUAAUAUAUUAAUUUUUACCCCCAAAAAACUGAAAAUAUUUUUAGACAGCAAAAAUA